rnacentral:rRNA from 1 species
AUUGAACGCUGGCGGCAGGCUUAACACAUGCAAGUCGAGCGGGGUGAUGGUGCUUGCACUAUCACUUAGCGGCGGACGGGUGAGUAAUGCUUAGGAAUCUGCCUAUUAGUGGGGGACAACAUCUCGAAAGGGAUGCUAAUACCGCAUACGUCCUACGGGAGAAAGCAGGGGAUCACUUGUGACCUUGCGCUAAUAGAUGAGCCUAAGUCGGAUUAGCUAGUUGGUGGGGUAAAGGCCUACCAAGGCGACGAUCUGUAGCGGGUCUGAGAGGAUGAUCCGCCACAAUGGGACUGAAACACGGCCCAGACUCCUACGGGAGGCAGCAGUGGGGAAUAUUGGACAAUGGGGGGAACCCUGAUCCAACCAUGCCGCGUGUGUGAAGAAGGCCUUAUGGUUGUAAAGCACUUUAAGCGAGGAGGAGGCUCUUUUGGUUAAUACCCAAGAUGAGUGGACGUUACUCGCAGAAUAAGCACCGGCUAACUCUGUGCCAGCAGCCGCGGUAA